rnacentral:rRNA from 1 species
GACGAACGCUGGCGGCGUGCUUAACACAUGCAAGUCGAGCGGUAAGGCCCUUUCGGGGGUACGACGAGCGGCGAACGGGUGAGUAACACGUGGGUGACCUGCCCUCCAGCUCUGGGAUAAGCCUGGGAAACCGGGUACUAAUACUGGAUAUGACUCCAUGACGCAUGUUGGUGGGGUGGAAAGCCUUGUGCGGCUGAGGAUGGGCCCGCGGCCUAUCAGCUUGUUGGUGGGGUG